CAGCCGCCACGGUAAUACGGAGGGGGCUAGCGUUGUUCGGAAUUACUGGGCGUAAAGCGCACGUAGGCGGCUGUGUAAGUCAGAGGUGAAAGCCCGGGGCUCAACCCCGGAAUAGCCUUUGAGACUGCAUAGCUUGAACACGGGAGAGGUGAGUGGAAUUCCGAGUGUAGAGGUGAAAUUCGUAGAUAUUCGGAGGAACACCAGUGGCGAAGGCGGCUCACUGGUCCAUUACUGACGCUGAGGUGCGAAAGCGUGGGGAGCAAACAGGAUUAGAUACCCCCGUAGUCCCUGUCUCUUAUAC
rnacentral:rRNA from 1 species